rnacentral:rRNA from 1 species
AGUGAACGCUGGCGGUAGGCCUAACACAUGCAAGUCGAACGGCAGCACAGUAAGAGCUUGCUCUUACGGGUGGCGAGUGGCGGACGGGUGAGGAAUACAUCGUAAUCUACUUUUUCGUGGGGGAUAACGUAGGGAAACUUACGCUAAUACCGCAUACGACCUACGGGUGAAAGCAGGGGAUCUUCGGACCUUGCGCGAUUGAAUGAGCCGAUGUCGGAUUAGCUAGUUGGCGGGGUAAAGGCCCACCAAGGCGACGAUCCGUAGCUGAUCUGAGAGGAUGAUCAGCCACACUGGAACUGAGACACGGUCCAGACUCCUACGGGAGGCAGCAGUGGGGAAUAUUGGACAAUGGGCGCAAGCCUGAUCCAGCCAUACCGCGUGGGUGAAGAAGGCCUUCGGGUUGUAAAGCCCUUUUGUUGGGAAAGAAAAGCAGCAGGUUAAUACCCCGCUGUUCUGACGGUACCCAAAGAAUAAGCACCGGCUAACUUCGUG